CUGAAGAGGUAGGCGGCUACCAGCGCGUAACGUAGCAGUGUCUUCUCGGAGCUUCUACGUGUCUUCUCGGAGCGGGAAUACCACGGGAAGAAGCAUCCGCCACAUCACCAGUCACCGGGGCUCGAGAGACCGCGGCCGUGGACCUGGGCGCCCUAGCAGACGUCAGUGCCCCGGUGACGUCAGCGGCUGGGUGACGCGGCUGGUGGCACACGUGGCCGUCCUGGCAGACAGGAGUCCCACGUUCGAAGCAAUCCUCGGGCACAACGCUCCGGAGACCACCUGCGGCCAGCCCGACGUCACGGACGUGGAGGGCACAGUGCUGAGGCAGCUGCCGGGCUACGUGUGCACCCUCUAGGCCCACCAACUGCCUGGUGUGGUCCCCCAACUGCUGGCAGCAGCUGACAAGUACAGCUGGUUGGCCCUGGAGGCUGUGUGAGAGCAGCAGGUGGCUGCGUAGCCGGCAGCGGAGACUGCGUCGGAUGUAGCUCUACUUGCAACGGAGGCUCCCGUGCACCGUCCUCGCUGUGGUUGUCGUCCCCUUCGUAAAGGAUCACUCUGAGGUGAUGGCCACGCAGAGCUGGACAGACUCUGUGCUCAAGUACCCAAAAGAUGUCACUGAAGUGAGUCGUCUGCUCGGGGAGCCACCAGCAGAUGCCAGCGCGCCAGCCACUAAAAGGGGAAGGGCCACCCCCGGCACUCACUGUCAGCCCCACAGCGACCACAGCCAGAGUCCUGCUGCGGCUGUGCUGCCCACAGCUGCCCGACACACUCCUCCUCCUCCUGAGGAUGCAGCUGCCUCAAUUCUGGAGCUUGUCUGCAGAGAAGAGAGGCAGUAGGCUGUUCCAGGCAGCUGUGUAGGGGGCAGUGAGCGAGCUGAGGAUGCCGGUCACCGCAGGGGGCGACACGGAGGUGGGGGGUGGGAGGACGUUCUGGAGGGGGACCGCCCUGCACUUCGCAGCAAGGGAGGGACACGUGGAAGGGGCGAGGUGCCUCGUGGAGGGCAGUGCUGUGGUGGUGGACGGGAGGAGCAGCCCACAGCAGACGAUACCUCAGUACGUGGCCGCAGUGAAUGGUGGCCCAGCUGCUGUUGUGCCCUCUGCCGACCCAAAUGCCAGGGAUGACAAUUGGUAGAUGCCUCUGCACACUGUGCACCAUGCAAUAGUCACGCAGAUGUGGUGUCUGCGCUGCCCACGGUGGGGGCCGACUGUGGGGGGGCACGAGAGGCAUCUGAUGGAGAUGCUGUCGUGAGGCAACCAGUCCGGCAAACUCCUCUGCAAUAAAUAUUCUUUCUUUUAACCAAAGAAUGCACAGAUUCAGUCUUAUUGAUGACAUUAGAUAAAGGUAAAGUAAUUCAAGUAACAAUAGGCAAAAAUGUGUAGAGUAUACUUCUAGGCUAACUUUGGAAAAGACAAUGGGGACUGAAAAAUAAUUCAUUGCGAAUAAAAACAACUACUCCAAUAUCCGAUUGGUGAAAAGUAUUUCACAGAAGCCUAAAAGGUGCUGCAUCAAACCACUGUAAUUUGCAACCUAUUGAAAGUACUGUGUGUGAGUUCUGUCACUAUAAUUGUCACUUCUGAUAUCAGGCUCUACUUACCUCUGUAUGUUCACCAAACAUUGUACAGUACUGUACCUCCUUUGUUUAAUUACAAUGUCAUAUCAGUAUCAAUAUUCACACCUCAUAAUGCACUUAUCAUCGGGAACUAUACAAUCGGCCCAUAUUUAACUAAAGAGAAUGCACGUUUACUCUGAUGUUACAGGAUAACACAGUAAAUCUCCCCACUUUCUUCCAUAUUCUCCUCCCGUCGGUCUGCAGUGCUGCUCCCUCAGCCAGGAGCCGCAUUAGCUGAGCGCCUGCAGGGGCCGCCGUGCAACCCACCACACUACUGCUGGCACCACCCACACUGCCCCCGACGACUGUCCGCAGAACUGUGGCUCUCACCCACUCUGCGACACACCAGAAUGUCACGCCAUUCCCACUAUAUUGUGCCGGCAAUGUUCUGUGACGCGACUAUCCACAUAGAAAGAACUUUGCAAUUUGCAAAAAUGAGUUAGAAAACAGUAUAAUAAGCAGUUAACGAUGGUUAAACGCUGAAUUGCAACUGAGAACCAGACGGCAACUACAGUGUAUCCUCAAAGCUCUCAUACAGUGGCAGUCUAAUACAAACAUGGCAGAAACUUGGGGAAUUUAUCUUCCCACGGGUUGGCUACCCACGCCUUCUGAGCCAGAAGAUUUUUGAUGCUGGACUACUCUCAUGGGCGAAAUCGAUGUUUUGGAAGCUCCCCCUGUUACUUGCUGACUGGUGCUGCUGCCAUCGCCAUCUGCUGCUGCCGGCCAACGCCACCCGAUGCUGCUGCUGCUGCCACCCGUCACUGCCCGUUGCUGGGGCCCGUCGGCGUCUGCUGCUGGCCGACGUGCUCCUGGUGCUGUCACUGCCUACUCCUGGUGCCAUCGCCGUCAACCGAUGGCGCCUGUCACCAGCUUCUGCCGGUGCCCAUUGCUGCCGCCACCGCUGCUGUCGUCCGUCGCCGUUGCUGUCCUUUCCAGUCUUCCCGUCUCUGACUCCCGAUUAACACUCCCUACCGCAGCACCACCAGAGGUGUCGGUGCUACUGAGUGCCCACCUGCCCUAGAAAUCCGCUCAGCCCGACGCAUCUGCGACAACUCUGGUGCUACCUUCCUAACGCACAUGUUUACAGAGUCUGCCUCCUCUAGUGAUAAUCUCACUCGGGGAGCUCUCAUUUUUCACUGUCGCCUCCUCAGUCCUAGUGCUGCCAACGGUGCCCCCCUAUACGAUGAUCACUUCACCCAAAAUUGCAGAAACCCCCAACAUACCUCCAUUGUACAGCCCCCCACUUUCUAAAACAGUGUCCUAACCUUGCGUCUCCUCUUUACUGCAAGAACUGCAAUAAAUCCCUUCCGAUGUACUUCUAGAAAUGCAACACCAAAACCCCUAUCAACAGCCCCAACCUUACUGUCACCGUUCACCCCAUCGAUCAGCCCAUCCGCCCUAACAGUUCCCUUUGCCCACCCCCUGUGGCCAAAGAGAUCAUCCAUUAACUCGUCAUUGUUCUCCAGAACAUACACCCCUUCCAAUGCCCCCACACCCUCUAGCAGAUCUCCCUUGCUGCCUCCUCCAUUUGAACACCUACGCCAUCUAACCCUACAACCAGGCCCACUUCACCUCGAACUGCCUCUUCACUCUCAUUUAAGACUCUCCCCUCUCCUGCUCCUUGGUGUGCCAUCUGACCCCAUUUUUCCACCCCACCAUCUCCAGCCCUUCAUCCUCCCACUGCCAUCUCUGUUCCCUUCUCUUACCUUCUUUCAGGCCUCCCCUCCCUCAGCAGGUCUCCUAGUUUCUUUCUCGUGAUUUUAAUCCUUGUCGUGUGUGCCACACCUAGUGCAGUGUUUUUGAAGUGCUGUUGUUUUGGUGUGGAUUUUAAUGCUGUGGCCUACUUUCAUCUUGGGCUUGUGACUCCAGUGUGUUUUAAGUGCUGUGUACAUCAUCAAGUGUAUUUCUGUUUGCAAGUGGGCCUUUUUUAACUGUGUCCCACAUGUCAGCGUAUUUUUAGCCCCAUUAUAUUCUUCUAUUCCCCUUUUACUGCCUUAUUUGUUUUCUGUCAUUUUUAAUUCAUGUAAUGUCUCUGAGCUGAAGAGCAGCAGAUUGUGCUGCUGACAGCCCUCCCCUGCCAGAAUGGAGCAAGGGAAUGAAAUAAAAAUAAAGAAAAAAGAAAAAAAAUUGGUGAAUUUAGUUGUAAAAUUUACAUAUGGUUCAUCAUGACAAAUGGUUCAUCAUCACACAAAAGGUCCAUUUAAAGCAUUCACCAGACAUAGUAACAUUUUGAAAUUAAUGAUGCCACAUACAAAAUGUGAAGACAAUCCUGUCCUUAUAUGAUUGUUGUUUGUACUACACGUCAAAAAUUGCAGCAACUGAAGUAAUUGUAGUUUCAUUUGAGACACAACACUGAGGAUCAAAUUUCAGCUCACAAAAGCAAAACAAAUUUAACGCCACACUCAAACCUCGACACAUGAGUCACUACGAUAUAGUUCAGAUGGUAAAGCAAGUCAUCAAACUACAGGUAAUAAAAUUUAAUUUGACUUGUACAUACGUAAACAGUUCCUGAUGUUCCUGAGCAACAGUUAUACAGUAUUUUUUAAAGGAAUGCACUGCCAUUUCACUGUCGUACUGUUGAAUUAAAUAAACAGUGAAACAGUCGAAUGACGGUUUGUUCCUUUAAAGAGGAAAUGAGUGCAAUGAACAGUGUUUCUUACAUUGCUUAAUUCCUUUAUUUCUGAUUGCACAGUUUCUCUGACUUCAAACAGAUUUCAAGUCAGAGUAAUUGGUGUUCAUUUUCGUAAAAGGGCAGCUUUUCCAUAUUGAUACAAGUACCAAUAGGCAGGGAUGGCACUAGACUUUCUGGCCUCCGUGUAAACAUUCUCAGGCCCCUCGACUAAAUUUUUUAUGUUAAACUUUGUGAAUUUGGAUAAUGUCGAAAAGUGUUAAUGCAAAAAGUUAAUCAGAUCCUUUUUUAAGAAACUUACUUAAUUGUGAUUGUAGGGAAGUAAAUCCGAUAGUUAACCAAAUUGUACUUCCUCUCUAGUGUUUUAGAAGUUAGCUCAUUUACAAUGCCAAUAUGAUGUAAUGAAUGGACAAACUCUGACCCAUUUGUGAUCAUAGGUAAUACAGCAUGUCACUCUUGCACCACUGUCAUUCUGUGACAGUUCUUAACUCCUGCAAGAAAGCUCAAUGGCCACUCAAGCUGCCAUCAUUGUAUUUUGCAGUACGUCAGUAAAAUUGCACUUAUGAAGAGCACUGAAAAGGUGCAGGAGUAGUGGCUCAGACCCAAAAUUAGCUGCACGAAUCUUUUAACAGCAAAAUUUCUUGUUUCUGACUUGCUAAGUAACGUCUAUGCUUUGUAUCACACUGAACUCAAAGACACACCGAAAUGAUUUCAAAUAAUUCUGAAUGCUCAUUAGUUUGGUAUGUGCUCCUGCAGUUGAAGUUAUUGGCAAGUUAAGCCACCCUCGAUAAUUCCGCAAAUGCUUAGGAAAUGGGCACCUAUCCACAGGUGUUGUGUGAUGUCCUUAGGUUAGUUAGGUUUAAGUAGUUCUAAGUUCGAGGAGACUAAUGACCUGAGCAGUUGAGUCCCAUAGUGCUCAGAGCCAUUUGAACCAUUUUGAACCUAUCCACAGGGACCGUGGGACCAUGUCAUCCUGCAAGAAGCGAUCCAAUAUUUUAUUUUAAAACUUUCUGUCUUUGGGGACUGGAAUGAAAAAAAAAAUAGUUUUUGAAACAAUUCCAAAGAAAGUGACUACAUUGCAGCACAAGCACCACAAGGAGAAAAGUUGCCAGCAGGUUUUCUUUCAGUACAUGCACCAAGCACCGUCUUGCCAUCUCCGCCUCCUCACAGACGCCUAUGGAUGCAGAUUUCUUCCUAAUACUCUACAUUACACUAUGAUGAAUCUACAUUCAGUUCAUUACAUUUCUUAGUCAAGAAUGAUGUUACUCCCACCCUUCAGAACGUUAAUGAAUCUGUAAGGGCAUAGAUACGUUCCAGCACAAAAUGUCAGGUUUAGUGGCAGAGAUACCUGAGGAACAAGUUUUCAAAACCUGCCAUGGCAGCAUGCAAUUGCCAAAAAAAAAAAAAAAAACUUUCUCAUCCUGCCACCUCAGCCACAACAUUUGCAUGGGUCAGGUAUCAUGCGUUCUACUGAUUCGUACAUAUGAUCACUCCUAGUGUGGACUGACCAUUGAUGUGUCAUGAAUUUCAAAUCACAGUGAAAACCCAGAGAAGUUUUCGAUAGACGUGUCACAGGUGUGUCUAGUAUGCCCAUCAAAUGCACACUUUUCAGUUCUGAGUGCACAGAGAGCAUGUAAAGAUGCCUAGAGCAAUAGAAUCUCCCUUCAAGCAGCCAUUGUUCUUAGGAUUUGUAAAUAACACUUAUGUUCCUCCAGUUGCCGACAAGUUUCAUCACAGUUUUUUCUAGAAUGCGGAUUAUAUUAUGACUGAAAUAGUUACAUUCAGUGUGAAGUGACUGCUUUUAUAUUGAUUCCAUUGAAGCGUAUUACUUUUUUUCAAAUUUUUAGAUGGCCAAAGCCAGCUGGACGGUAAGAGUGGUGUGUUCCGUUUCGGCCACAAGGUGGCAGCAUCUGCGAGCAUGCAGCCUAUCGAGAGUGCAGUUCUGAUAUUUGUUUAUUUUAUUUGGUUCAAAAUGGUUCAAAUGGCUCUGAGGACUAUGGGACUCAACUGCUGAGGUCAUUAGUCCCCUUGAACUUAGAACUAGUUAAACCUAACUAACCUAAGGACAUCACAAACAUCCGUGCCCGACGCAGGAUUCGAACCUGCGACCGUAGUGGUCUUGCGGUUCCAGACUGCAGCGCCUUUAACCGCACGGCCACUUCGGCCGGCUUUAUUUUAUUUAUUCUUCAUAAAUUACAGCCUAGUAUAUAGAAACCUAAAGUAGGCGAUACAACUCACAUUUCCUAGGGUAGUUAGGUAUUACGUAUAAUUUAUUUCUGAUAAAAAAGCUACAGCUACUUCUACUACUACAAAGCUAUAUUACACCCUUAAACAAUUACCCAGCUACUGAUCUACUACAAAACAACAGAUUUUGUUCUCUGUUCAUUUAUUUCGAUGCAUUUAACUUUUAGAUGGUUGCUUCUGCUACUGGAUCUGCCCUCGUGGUACCCCAGUCAACAGCCAUAGUCAGCCAUAUCUGUUGGAUUCCGUGGGCAUCGGGCAGCACGUAAGUGGCGUUUCCUGUAGCGAGUAAUUCCUUCUGAACGUUGAUAUGGAUAACGCUGUUGGUGAACGUUUUUCCUCGCAGACUAUUUUAUAUGGUACACUCCAGGGAUCGGUUUCUAAGUUGGCCUCCACGAAUUGCUUCCUUCGUUCCAUUUUUGUUUUGCAUAGCUCUUCCUUAAAACGUCAUUUAAAAUACCAGUAUCCACGAAGCCAUCGGACUCUUUCUUCUUGGGCCAUGCUUCUCAGGUAUAGCUUCCAGUGCAGUCCUGACAAUGGAAGUGUCUAAAAAGUCUUCAAAACCACCACAAUAUAGCAGAAGAGGCCGGCGCGAUAUCCUAUAGGCCGGUAAUAGAGGCGCGUGAUAUUCUGGCAACCAGUAAAUCAGCUACUGAGUUCACCACAUGGCAAAGAGAUGGCGCGCCAGUAGCAAGGUACUAGAGUGCAUGAGCGUAGUGGACGUAAAGUCAUAUACAACACUGUCUUAUGUCUUAAGAAAACCAAAAGAAUGAAAUUGUCGCGCUCUGGUCUGUACCCUACCGAAUUUAAAGCCAUCUCACAGAUUUCCACAGAUGCACGAAUUGUCAUAAAAAAUGUACUGUUACAGUGGCUGCCAUGAAAUGACACAAUUCGUCACACCUGCUAUGCGACAUCUUCAGGCGCGAAGUGCUGAGAUUUACAUCUGGUUGGGAAUUGAACCCAGGGUCCCAUGAUGGGAGAGUCUGCAGCCCAAAAGACCACAAGCUGCUGAAUCUUUCAUCGCAAAUGGUGACGGUUUAUUUACCCAAGAGAAUAUGGCUGUACCUGUAUCAAACAGGUUGCAUAGUGGUAAAAGAGGCACAUGCUCGUAAAGGAUUACGGAAUACGGAUCCCUUAAUAGAACACUAGUGGCCGAAAACCUGACAUUGACUGGGUAUGUCUUUAUUUCAGUCUUAUAUUAAGCAGUCUCCUAUUACCCCUCUUCAUGUUAAUGUCCUCCUAUUCCCUUUCUCUGUCCAUCACCUCCUCCCGUCUUCUCUCUCCACAUUCUCACAUUCACCCCAGUAUGAGGCUGGUUGUUCUGAUGCCCACAGUAUUUCCUUCCAUAUUGUAAGUAAGAGGUGUACCAAAUUUGGCUGAACUCGUUCCUAAAGUUUAGAAUGAUAGUCUUACGCAUUGGUUUGCAAGAGUACACACCUGAACAAUAUUUCACAUAUAAUACUUGUUUUUGCACGAAUUUGUACAUGUAUGUCACUUUUAUGUCCAGCAAAUUUUACAUUGCAGUUCCACUUUCAGGCAGGUCAAUGUUAAUGAGCUCACAUCUUGUAACUGUGUGAUGUGCAGUGUCAUAAUUUUGCCGGUUGGUGUAUGUGGCUACUGCCUGCGAAAUUUGUUGUGAAUAGACUUAGUGGCAACGAAGUAAUAAAUUUAAACAUGUAGCAUGAUGCAGUAUUUUUUCACUAAUCUCCGUGUUUAUGACAUAAUAUCUCCUGAACUGUGUGUCUUCCAAUGAUGUAAUUUUUCUGGUACAUUCAAAUGUAGAUGUGAGUACUGUGUGGAAAAUGUGUCUUGA